GAUGAACGCUGGCGGCGUGCCUAAUACAUGCAAGUCGAGCGACAACACAAGAAGAUCGCUCUCCUGCGGUUAGCGACGGACGGGCGAGUAACGCAUACAUCACCUACCUAUAAGACGGGGAUAACUACGGAAAAACAGAGACCAUAACAGCUAACACGAUGUACCGCACGAUUCAACAGAGAAACACACUCUGCCCGCCACUUUUAGCUGAUGCCGCGCCGCAUUAGCUAGUUGGUAAGGUAACGGCUUACCAAGGCAACGAUCCGUAGCCGACCUGAGAGGGUGAUCGGCCACACUGGAACUGAGACACGGUCCAGACUCCUACGGGAGGCAGCAGUGGGGAAUCUUGGGCAAUGGGCGAAAGCCUGACGCAGCAACGCCGCGUGGGUGAAGAAGGUCUUCGGGUCGUAAAGCCCUGUUGUUGGGAAAGAACAGAAGUGGAUGAAACCAUGCACGUUGUGACGGUACCCAAUCAGAAAGCCACGGCUAACUACGUG
rnacentral:rRNA from 1 species